rnacentral:rRNA from 1 species
CCUACGGGCGGCAGCAGUGGGGAAUAUUGGUCAAUGGGCGCAAGCCUGACCCAGCAACGCCGCGUGAAGGAAGAAGGCUUUCGGGUUGUAAACUUCUUUUGUCAGGGACGAAGCAAGUGACGGUACCUGACGAAUAAGCCACGGCUAACUACGUGCCAGCAGCCGCGGGAAUACGGAGGUGGCAAGCGUUAUGCGGAUUUACUGGGUGUAAAGGGCGUGUAGGCGGGACUGCAAGUCAGAUGUGAAAACCACGGGCUCAACCUGUGGCCUGCCUUUGAAACUGGAGUUCUUGAGUACUGGGGAGGCAGGCGGAAUUCGUGGUGUAGCGGUGAAAUGCGUAGAUAUUAGGCAGAACCCCGGUGGCGAAGGCGGUCUGCUGGACAGCAACUGACGCUGAGGCGCGAAAGCGUGGGGAGCAAACAGGAUUAGAUACCCUAGUAGUC